GUUUGUGGAGCACACGGAACUUAUUAUACACUGGCCGACGUGGGACCUGGCGCAGCUCCGGUGUGGCCCGGCAGUACCUACCCUCCUGCGGCGGCCUCGGAGGCCCAGAUGGUGUGUCAGUGUGCCACUUUACAGAAGAGAGAGGAAGAGAAUCUUCCUGGGAUGAGGUACAGUCUCUUGUUGUUAAUGUACUUGUAUGACUAUAUAAGUACCAGGGGAUUCUGAGACAUAAACCGGGGGUUGGUGUGAGUGUGCAUUUUCACGUUUGCAUCUGCUGAUGAGAAUUUUUGACUUAUGCUUUUAACUUACAGUUUAGGAUGUGAUUCUGUGCUUAAUGCCGUAGGACUGGAUAAUGCACUUGUGUUCAUUUUCCAGACUCACUUAGUGAAACCAGUGUCUGUGUGGGCAUUCUUU